AAGGACACUGUAUCUAGAUUCUUUAAGUAUACAAGUUUUUUAAAAUCUACCUGUUUUAAUAUUUCUAAUGGAUGCGAUUAUAUAUAUAUUGCUCUUGUAUUGUUCUUUUCUUUUUAUCAUCAUUUUUUUUUUUUUAUAAACAAUCAUCUAUGCUAUAUCCCUGAGAGGGUCCUAAUUUGGAAAUAAAUUAUAUAUAUAUAUACACACACACACACACACACUUAGAGGGAGAGUAAACGAAUUUUAAUAUUUGGUUAAGGAGAUUCAUAUUUUUUAUUCUUUGAUAAUUAUUGUUUGAAUUUUUAUGGGCAGUAAAACAAUUCUGGAGUGAUCUGAUUUUUUUCCCCCUAUGUUGUGAUGACUGAGCCAAAUGCAGCUUGUAAAUACCUCAAAAUUUGGCGUUUGAAGGGCGUACAACGAGCAGGCUAUACGCUGAAGUGUUAUUAUACCUAUAAAGAAUAAUUUUUCUCGGCUUCCCCAAUUACUCAGCUCUUCCAACUCCUUGUUUCAAGUAUCCCGAAAUUAUCGUCAAGUAGCAAUUUUUAUUCCUUUUAAAAAAAGUAAUAAAUUGCACAAAAGCAGGUAAAUUAAUUAGUCGUAACAAGGUACUUAAUAAUGUUUCGAAAGCGAUUUUAUCAUCGUUCGUGGUUUGCCUCAAUGUGUGUGGGACUAAUUUAGCUGGAGGGUCCACGUUCAUUUUGAUCGGUUUUCUCACGGUGAUCAAUACCAAUGUCACCGUCUGUCUGCAGCCCGUGUCUUCGUAAUGAAUACGUUCUGCGUAAUGGUGACCCGUGAUUGCCGGCUCAUCAGAUACGCCGAUAAAAACACAAACGUCACGCGGUGCAGGUAAUCAGACGAAAAGAAGUCACACGAUCGAUGAUUGGAUACUUAUUGUUGUGGAUUAUUUAUUUAUUUUCACGUAUUCUAUUUGUUGAUUUUUGAAGUCAAGACAGAUAUCUUGGAUAAAUCAAUUAACCUCGCUGCGUAUCACUCCCCGCACUUGAUGAGAACCUGUUGAAAUUGUUUCUCUUUGAACUACUGUCACAAGCGACCGCUCCCGCGUGGCGGAGGAAUCUGGAACUCGCUGACAAAUGUCAUUCGGCACAACGGCGUGGUCCAGUGGAGUUCCAGCGCCCGGAAAAGUUUGAUGAAUUUGUUGAAAUAUAAAGCAUCAGUGGAAUUCCUCUUUUAUUAAAUUACGGUCUUCAAAAGCAUCGAGAAACUGAUGAAUGGCGCUUGUUAGCCCAACAAUGUAAAGAAAAAUUCAAUCAGUCACCUUUUCCCAUGUUGUCCUGAUGGGCAAAUUUAUGAUUAAAAUUUUGUAGUGUAGUUUUUUUUUAAGAAACCCAAAUACAUAAUCAAAUGUAAUGAUUUCAGCAGUUAAGAAUCUCUCAACAGGAAGAAUUAAGUGAGCGAAAUUUCAUGGAUACUUUUCGAAGAAAUUUAUAGAUGCAGUAAUUGUAAUGGAAGAUUAAACGAAAUCCACCACAAUCAGAGGUUUCCCUCCCACUACGAGAUGAUAAACGGUCAUGUUGUAACUGUAAGACAAGAUAAACGGUCAUGUUGUAAAAGUAAAUCGUUGUUCAGAGAAAAUGUAGAUUAAAGUGGAAUUUUCUAUGUGAGUUAACCUCAUGCCUGGACAAUUAGUGACCGAAGACAUCAAAGCAGGCAUAAUUUUAUAUCUCUCCCGAAUGAUCGAGUGCGCAACAUGCAGCCAGACCCGGCAACUCGUGCAAAAAUGGCGCGACUUAAAUAAAGUAAAGGUAUGGAAAUAAAUUUUGUUUUGGUUUCA